GGAAUUGACGGGGACCCGCACAAGCGGUGGAGCAUGUGGUUUAAUUCGAAGCAACGCGAAGAACCUUACCAAAUCUUGACAUCCUUUGACAACUCUAGAGAUAGAGCCUUCCCCUUCGGGGGACAAAGUGACAGGUGGUGCAUGGUUGUCGUCAGCUCGUGUCGUGAGAUGUUGGGUUAAGUCCCGCAACUAGCGCAACCCUUAAGCUUAGUUGCCAUCAUUAAGUUGGGCACUCU
rnacentral:rRNA from 1 species